AUUGAACGCUGGCGGCAGGCUUAACACAUGCAAGUCGAGCGGGGGAAGUUGCUUCGGUAAUUGACCUAGCGGCGGACGGGUGAGUAAUACUUAGGAAUCUGCCUAUUAAUGGGGGACAACAUCUCGAAAGGGAUGCUAAUACCGCAUACGCCCUACGGGGGAAAGCAGGGGAUCACUUGUGACCUUGCGUUAAUAGAUGAGCCUAAGUCGGAUUAGCUAGUUGGUGGGGUAAAGGCCUACCAAGGCGACGAUCUGUAGCGGGUCUGAGAGGAUGAUCCGCCACACUGGGACGGAGACACGGCCCAGACUCCUACGGGAGGCAGCAGUGGGGAAUAUUGGACAAUGGGGGGAACCCUGAUCCAGCCAUGCCGCGUGUGUGAAGAAGGCCUUAUGGUUGUAAAGCACUUUAAGCGAGGAGGAGGCUCUUUUGGUUAAUACCCAAGAUGAGUGGACGUUACCCGCAGAAUAAGCACCGGCUAACUCUGUGCCAGCCGCCGCGGUAAAAC
rnacentral:rRNA from 1 species